UACGGAGGAGGCAAGCGUUAAUCGGAAUUAUUGGGCGUAAAGGGUGUGUAGGUGGUUAAAAUAGUUAAAUGUGAAAUCCCUGAGCUUAACUUAGGAAUUGCAUUUAAUACUUUUUGACUAGAGUUUUGUAGAGGGAAGUAGAAUUUUCGGUGUAGCGGUGAAAUGCGUAGAUAUCGGAAGGAAUACCAGAGGCGAAGGCGACUUCCUGGACAAAUACUGACACUGAGACACGAAAGCGUGGGGAGCAAACAGG
rnacentral:rRNA from 1 species